rnacentral:lncRNA from 1 species
UGUGAUUAAUUAUGUGUGCUCUAAGCUAAAACUCUCAUUUUACAUUUUUCUGUACUACAGAAUAAUACUGAAAGGCAAGACAAAUAGCUGAAAAAUACCUAAGACUUGGGAAAGACUUGAUCCCACAAUAAAUAACUACUGGGCAUUGCUAUGUUUUAAGCACUAGGAAUUAAAGAAGAUUUUUUUAAAAGCCAAUACUUAUUGAACAUAUAUAAGCAUCACACAUUGCUAUUAAUUCUUUAUGAACAUUUGCUAAUUGAUUGUUAAAAAUGACAUUUGAGAUGAUCGUUUUUAUCCUUAUUUUGCAGAUAAGGAAUUUGAGACCCAGAGAGUUUAAAUUCCCUCAGUAAAGCUCACAGUUAGCAAGUGAUAGAGCUGGGAUUCAUAUCCAUACUUUUCAAAAUCUAAAGCCCAUAUGUAUAACCACCAAACUAUUCAACCAUAUUAUGUUAUGGAUUUAAAAGAACAACAACAGUACUUUCUCACAAGCAAUUUUAUUUUAGAUGUCAUAAAUUACUUGCCUGAGUACAGGAUAAUAGAAUGCUCUGUGGUUAAGACUAGAGUUUAGUCUUAUACCAAAGUCUGUGUUCCUUUAACUGUUCUAUGCUCCUCUCGGCUUACAACCAAGUAAUCACAGAUUUAGAAGGGGCUUACAGGACUGACUGAUGCAGUUUCUUCCCUGGGUAUGGCAUCUGAUAGACAGCAUCCUUCUGACCCAUACUAAUCACACUGUCCACUGUCAACUUUUAUCUUAGGCAAUUUUAUUCCUCCUUUGUUGUGUUCCAUUUAGUUUCCUCCAUCAUAUAUUAUCUUUAACAAAU